GGCAGCUUUGUUUACCUACUCACAGCUUGGCAAUGGCAGGCGCCCCUCCCCCAGCCUGGCUGCCGCCUUGCAGUUUGAUCUCAGACUGCCCUGCUAGCAAUCAGCGAGACUCCGUGGGCGUAGGACCCUCCGAGCCAGGUGCGGGAUAUAGUCUCCUGGUGCGCCGUUUCCUAAGCCCGUCGGAAAAGUGCAGUAUUAGGUUGGGAGUGACCAGAUUUUCCAGGUGCCGUCUGUCACCCCUUUCCUUGACCAGGAAAGGGAACUCCCUGACCCCUUGCACUUCCUGAGUGAGGCAAUGCCUCGCCCUGCUUGGGCUCAUGCACAGUGCGCGGCACCCACUGUCCUGCGCCCACUGUCUGGCACUCCCUAGUGAGAUGAACCUGGUACCUCAGAGGGAAAUGCAGAAAUCACCCAUCUUCUGUGUCACUCACGCUGGGAGCUGUAGACCGGAGCUGUUCCUAUUCGGCCAUCUUGGCUCCCUUAAACUGAUCCUCUUAAACACAGGAGCCAAGAAGAUUGAUACAUGACUGGAGCCUGAAUGGUAGAACUUUUUCAGAAGUGAGGAGUCUGUUGGCCCAGAAGAUCUGCGGUAAGAUCUGCCUCAACAUACCUUACUCAUUUUUUUCAAAGAGACUCUAGAGUCUAAAAUGAACAACCAAUCAAUUCUACAAACAUUGCAUCAUGAGGAGUUGCUGCACCUCUUCUCCAGGAUUUGCAAAACGUGUAGUCCAAAUCGAGUUCGGCUAGAACUGGUCUGUCAUCAAGAUAUGGCUCAUGAAAGAGAUUGGUGUUUAGGAGGCUGGGAAAAGGAAAUAUUUUGAGAGACUUCAUGUGCUCCGCACAUGGAGGUGGCUUCCUUUUGCCUCAGGUGAAGGGAGCUUCAACAAGAUCACUCAGAGUUUGAUCAAUGAUCUUAGAAUUUGCAGAACAUAGGGACUGCCAUUUGACUCACCCUUUAGAAGUCAGGAGGAAAGGUUACGUGGCUGGCACUUCUCAUGUCUGGGAAGGAACAACUGUGAAGUGCUGACCUAGACGAAUGUUGCACUUCCGCUGAUGAGUAGGCAAUGGCGAAUGUUUUCCAGGGUCCAAAUGUGGACCCGGCAACAGAGAGGCUGUCUGUAAUCACUUUAUAAGAGACACUAACAACAAUGACCACUGGGACUAAAGAGAGCACAACGGAAGUAGUUCUGCCAGAAGGGCUGAGGAGAGGGCUGAGCAACCACCCUCAGGGGAGGCAGACCCACAUCAAAGACAUCUCAGCAGUCCCUUUCCCAUGAAAGAAAGAGCUAGAAAUUGUCCAUUUGACACACACACAAACCAGAUCCCAGAUUGCAAUUGAUUCAGAUAAUGAAAAGCUUGUUCUUUUCACUUGCUGUUCUAGCCUAACCAUGUAGGUGUCAGAAGCAGUUGUAGGCUAGGAGAGAAGUCGGAGCAAUACAGAAGCCAGUUCUGCCUUUGCCUCAAGAUCCACUGUCCACUCAGAGGCAGGCUGGCACAUGGGGGAUGAGAACAUUCCAAGAAAGAUGUGAAUCUGGAAUUUUCAUUUAUGCAGUAGAUGGGGAUUUACUACUGAAAGGAACAUGUUUUGGCAACUAAUAGUGACCAAAAGAAUUUGUACUUACUAAAAAUUAUCUUAAAAGCAUGGGAUUACCCUAGCAUUUUGUUUCAGAAACUGAAAUUAACAGAAAACUAUAAAAUUACUUUCUGCCUGAAACCUAAGAAGGUGAACUCAUGCCAGAAACCAGUUACAUUCACAAUUACCUGGAUUUUGUUAUUUCCUACAAUGAAUAAAACUUAUUAUAAAGCAGAAAAGC
rnacentral:lncRNA from 1 species